UGCAGUCGACGAACUCUUCGGAGUUAGUGGCGGACGGGUGAGUAACACGUGGGAACGUGCCUUUAGGUUCGGAAUAACUCAGGGAAACUUGUGCUAAUACCGAAUGUGCCCUUCGGGGGAAAGAUUUAUCGCCUUUAGAGCGGCCCGCGUCUGAUUAGCUAGUUGGUGAGGUAAAGGCUCACCAAGGCGACGAUCAGUAGCUGGUCUGAGAGGAUGAUCAGCCACAUUGGGACUGAGACACGGCCCAAACUCCUACGGGAGGCAGCAGUGGGGAAUCUUGCGCAAUGGGCGAAAGCCUGACGCAGCCAUGCCGCGUGAAUGAUGAAGGUCUUAGGAUUGUAAAAUUCUUUCACCGGGGACGAUAAUGACGGUACCCGGAGAAGAAGCCCCGGCUAACUUCGUGCCAGCAGCCGCGGUAAUACGAAGGGGGCUAGCGUUGCUCGGAAUUACUGGGCGUAAAGGGAGCGUAGGCGGACAUUUAAGUCAGGGGUGAAAUCCCGGGGCUCAACCUCGGAAUUGCCUUUGAUACUGGGUGUCUUGAGUAUGAGAGAGGUGUGUGGAACUCCGAGUGUAGAGGUGAAAUUCGUAGAUAUUCGGAAGAACACCAGUGGCGAAGGCGACACACUGGCUCAUUACUGACGCUGAGGCUCG
rnacentral:rRNA from 1 species